rnacentral:rRNA from 1 species
CGGCCUGAGAGGGUGAACGGACACACUGGAACUGAGACACGGUCCAGACUCCUACGGGAGGCAGCAGUAGGGAAUAUUGCUCAAUGGGGGAAACCCUGAAGCAGCAACGCCGCGUGGAGGAUGAAGGUUUUAGGAUUGUAAACUCCUUUUGUUAGAGAAGAUAAUGACGGUAUCUAACGAAUAAGCACCGGCUAACUCCGUGCCAGCAGCCGCGGUAAUACGGAGGGUGCAAGCGUUACUCGGAAUCACUGGGCGUAAAGAGCGCGUAGGCGGGAUAGUCAGUCAGGUGUGAAAUCCUAUGGCUUAACCAUAGAACUGCAUUUGAAACUACUAUUCUAGAGUGUGGGAGAGGUAGGUGGAAUUCUUGGUGUAGGGGUAAAAUCCGUAGAGAUCAAGAGGAAUACUCAUUGCGAAGGCGACCUGCUGGAACAUUACUGACGCUGAUUGCGCUUAAAGGCGUGGGAAAA